rnacentral:rRNA from 1 species
GACGAACGCUGGCGGCGUGCUUAACACAUGCAAGUCGAACGGAAAGGCCCUGCUUUUGUGGGGUGCUCGAGUGGCGAACGGGUGAGUAACACGUGAGUAACCUGCCCUUGACUUUGGGAUAACUUCAGGAAACUGGGGCUAAUAUCGGAUAGGAGCUCCUGCUGCAUGGUGGGGGUUGGAAAGUUUCGGCGGUUGGGGAUGGACUCGCGGCUUAUCAGCUUGUUGGUGGGGUAGUGGCUUACCAAGGCUUUGACGGGUAGCCGGCCUGAGAGGGUGACCGGCCACAUGGGGACUGAGAUACGGCCCAGACUCCAACGGGAGGCAGCAGUGGGGAAUAUUGCACAAUGGGCGGAAGCCUGAUGCAGCAACGCCGCGUGCGGGAUGACGGCCUUCGGGUUGUAAACCGCUUUCGCCUGUGACGAAGCGUGAGUGACGGUAAUGGGUAAAGAAGCACCGGCUAACUACGUG